GACGAACGCUGGCGGCGUGCUUAACACAUGCCAGUCGAACGGAAAGGCCCUGCUUUUGUGGGGUGCUCGAGUGGCGAACGGGUGAGUAACACGUGAGUAACCUGCCCUUGACUUUGGGAUAACUUCAGGAAACUGGGGCUAAUACCGGAUAGGAUCUCCUGCUGCAUGGUGGGGGUUGGAAAGUUUCGGCGUUUGGGGAUGGACUCGCGGCUUAUGAGCUUGUUGGUGGGGUAGUGGCUGACCAAGGCUUUGACGGAUCGCCGGCCUGAGAGGGUGGCCGGCCACAUUGGGACUGAGAUACGGCGCAGACGCGUACGGGAGGCAGCAGUGGGGAAUAUGGCACAAUGGGCGGAAGCCUGUUGCAGCAACGCCGGGGGCGGGAUGACGGUCUUCGGGUUGUAAACCGCUUUCGCCUGUGACGAAGCGUGAGUGACGGUAAUGGGUAAAGAAGCACCGGCUAACUACGUG
rnacentral:rRNA from 1 species